CGAAGGGUGCAAACGUUGCUCGGAAUCAUUGGGCGUAAAGCGCACGUAGGCGGCUUCGCAAGUCGGAUGUGAAAUCCCACGGCUCAACCAUGGACGUGCAUUCGAAACUGCGGAGCUUGAGUAUGGAAGAGGGUCGCGGAAUUCCCGGUGUAGAGGUGAAAUUCGUAGAUAUCGGGAGGAACACCAGUGGCGAAGGCGGCGACCUGGGCCAAUACUGACGCUGAGGUGCGAAAGCGUGGGGAGGAAACAGGAUUAGAUACCCUGGUAGUCCACGCCGUAAACGAUGAGCGCUAGGUGCUUUGGGUAUUGACCCCUGAGGUGCCGAAGCUAACGCGUUAAGCGCUCCGCCUGGGGAGUACGGCCGCAAGGCUA
rnacentral:rRNA from 1 species